rnacentral:lncRNA from 10 species
UCUUGGGGUGCAGUUUGGCUCAACAUGGCUUAAUGUGGUGGGCACAUGGGCACCCAGAGAAAGAGAGAGCCAGCGCUGUCCUUCUUGUAGUUGGACAGGAGGGAGCAAGGACACAGCUUGGCUUGCUUGUGCCCUGAGAGAGAAGGAGUUAAGCUGCUGACCCGGAAGGCAAGGGAGAGCCGGUCACACAGCUGUGUGUGAGGGUGGCUGGCUUAGGCAGCCUAGACAGGGCAAACAGUGUAAGAGUAAGCUGCUAGUGAGAAAGCUGUUGAUGAAAACUGCUGUGAAUAAAACCAUAUUCACCUGACUAUGGCCCCCAGAGUGUUCCUUCUGCUCAUCCACCCACUCCCCUCGGACUGCAACAUGGGGUGGACCUGGAUCCCGGGAUCUGACAAUUGGUGAUGAGGAUGGGAUGAGAGACCCAUGAAUGAAGAAGAGAGAAGCAGAGGGAAAGAGAGAAACUGAUUGAAAAGAUGCAGUCAAAACGGGCGUUAGGAAAAAGAAGGAGAAGCAGAAGCUGCCAGUGCUGGUCCCAGAAGUAACAACCCAGAUCCUGAAGGCAUCUUUCCUGGAAGUUUUCCUAAAAGAUGAUCCAAACACCUAACUAACUAUACUGAUUUACAACAGCACCAACAACAUCAACAACAAACCUAAGGCCCAGAGGGCCUCAAUGUCACCAAGGUUAGAG